rnacentral:lncRNA from 10 species
UUUAUUUGAGCACUUAGUGUAUUGAGCUAGGCAGGAUAUAGGGUGCCGGAGAUACAGCGAUGAACAAGACAGGCAAAACUUCUGCUUUCCUAAAACUUGUGAUGAGAGAGAACAAUAAAAAAGUGUUGCUGCCACAAAGAAACCAAAGUGUGUGGGGAAGGGCGCGUGUUUGCGGUUUACAUCUCUUCUGUCCCAGAAUCACAGGGAUCUGGUCCGGUCACCUCUGGUCUUUCCUCUUAGUCGCCUUUAGGAGCCCUGGUUCCCGUCCAUCCUCUGGGGGGUUUGUUUGAAGAGAUCUCGUGUGGGUACUUGUCAUGAAAACACCUUGGGCAUCAUCUGGUGUAUCCAGUUCUAGUCUCGAGAAUUCUGGUUUCCCACUGUGCUCAGCAAGUGGAAAGUUCUUUUCAGGCCAGAACAGCUCUGCACCAUCACAUAUCGUGUUGCGGCUUAGCUGUUUGGUCUGUAGUUCAGGUUAUGGGACUUCUCCAAUCCUGGAAGGCUGUUGAGCUUUUUAGAAGUACUGUACGCUAUCUUCAAGAUGGAGCUUGGUCACAUCUGUUAGGAAUCCAAAGGACACUAUGACUUAUUUAAAUCUUGUCUUACUAAACCUCUCUUGGGCACGUGUGCCAGAAUUUCUCUUGUUGCUUCUUGAGUCUUUUUAAUUUCAGUGUUUUUUCGUUUGUUUUUUGUUUUUUUGAGACAGAGUCUCGCUCUGUCACCCAGGCUGGAGUGCAGUGGCACGACCUCAGCUCACUGCAACCUCCGCCUCCUUGGUUCAAGCAAUUCUCCUGCCUCAGCCUCCCGAGUAGCUGGGAUUACAGGUGUGUGCCACCACGCUCGGCUAAUUUUUUAUAUUUUUUUUAGUAGAGACGGGGUUUCCCCAUGUUAGGCAGGAUGGUCUCGAUCUCCUAACCUCGUGAUCCGCCUGCCUCAGCCUCCCAAAGUGCUGGGAUUACAGGCUUGAGCCACCGCACCCGGCCUAAUCUCAGUUUUUGAAGUGCUCCACAAGUCAUUAGGCACCAAAACAUUUUCACCUGGGGAACACUGGCAUUUCCCUGAUUAGCUGUGAAGCAAUCUAGUGGCUAAGUGUGAAAUCCUGGGUGCGCAGGUGUUCUCACUCCCGCCGUGUUCUCAGUGCAGUGGUGGUCAGAGGCCCUUCCAAGGAGACAUCACUCUGAUCAGUUACAGAUAGAUGUUCUGGAAGAUCUGCAGGUGAGUAGAUCCAGCAGAGUUUCUUCCCACCAACUCUAGAAGAAAGGGCCUUAUCAGAGUUGACCCUGAGCCUUUGGUAAGGUUUUGUGUGCAUGCGAUUCAGUUAUCUUUGGCAAUUCUUUUCUUGCUGCAGUGAGAGAUUAAUUGGUUGCUGAUCAAACCGUUCAUGCAGAUGGGGGGACCUUUGGAUUGUACGGCUUUCUCCUCUUGGCUGCUUUCUUUUCAGGAAGUUGGACUUUGGCCAGGUUUGGCUUUCCCAGAGCCGUUCCUUUCUCUGUCCUUUCCUUGGGUCCUCAUGGUGUGCCCAUUGGAUCCUUGGCCUUGUGAUCCUCUGGGAACUGGGGGCCAGUUCCACUUUUGCAGCCUUCUGUGCUGGAAGAGAAGCCCAGCGCCCUGGAAGGAGCCUCUUUAAGUCCCCCAUGUCGCUUUCUCUCUCUGCUCUUUUAGUGUCUGAGAUUGCCUUUCUUUGAAUUUCCCAGUGUUUCUUUUCCUUGUCCCUUCCCUCACCAACCUGGAGUUAUUUUGGUUGACUAUGUCCUGGCUUUGGCUUCUCCUGGCAGGAAGUCAUCAGGCAUCCUCUCCAGGUGAGCCGAAAUUCCACCCUCCCAGGUUGGACAUCAUCUUUUAAACCCAAUGGUCUACUCCCCUCCUUCUUUAUGAAACAGUGAUUUCCCGUGAGUAACUCUGGUUCUGAUUUUUUGUACCGGCGCUUAAAUUCUUUCUGUAGACGUUGGAAAGCCACAAAGAACGUGACUGCAGUGAGCCUCCCACUGGAGCAGCCUUAACCAACACUUUGGCCAAAGCCCCCCCACCUCCCCUGUGUACUGUGUGUGUGUUUGGUGGAUACAGUAUUCCUUUUCAGUGUCCCUAAAGCUGUGAUGGGGAGUCCCCACUUACCUAGAAAGCAUUACCAGUCACCUACUCUGCAUUCUCAGAUGUAAACCUUGUGUAGUGUUCUUUUUGCAAUGACCUAUUUAUUUAACCUAUUUAUAUUUAUUUAAUUUUUACUCUGAAAUGUAUCCAGUUACAAUUGUACUUGCUUAAAGCACAUCAGAUUUGUUUUGGACAACACCCUUGACCAUUUUAAAACUGGAAAAGUGAUACUGUAUCCUUCCAUGGGAUGGAUGCUUUACAGUAGUCUUAUUAUUAAAGGGUGAUUAAUUUGGUCGGGGUAAAAUGUUAAUUUUUAGGUGAUUUUUAAGAAUUCUGUGCCAUUAUGUCUUCUGUGUGGAUGGUUAAUUGUUUAAUUAGUACGUGUUAAUUGUGUGAUACAGUCUUCUUUGUGGAACCCAAAAUCCUCUUUUUAGCUUUAUAUUUUAUAAACUGCCAGAUUGUACAACUUUUAUGUGCAUUUUUAAAGCUUGAAGACAUGAGGGUCAUUAUCUAAGUUAAACAGCCUAUUUUUGUGCCUCCUGUACAGUUUUAUAAUUCUGCUGAUGGCGGCAUCUUAUGUCGAGCCAACCACAAUAAAGGUAGUUUUAG